rnacentral:rRNA from 1 species
ACAGAGGCCUCGAGCGUUAGGCGGAAUCACUGGGCUUAAAGCGUGUGUAGGCGGGCCCGUAAGUGUCUUGUGAAAUCCCACGGCUCAACCGUGGAACUGCUGGGCAUACUGCGGGUCUUGGGCCAACUAGGGGCGACUGGAACAAACGGUGGAGCGGUGAAAUGCGUAGAUAUCGUUUGGAACGCCAAUGGUGAAAACAGGUCGCUGGGGAUGAGCUGACGCUGAGACACGAAAGCCAGGGGAGCAAACGGGA